GACAGGAUGGCCGAGUGGUCUAAGGCGCUGCGUUCAGGUCGCAGUCUCCUAUGGAGGCGCGGGUUCGAAUCCCGCUCCUGUCC
rnacentral:tRNA from 1 species